rnacentral:rRNA from 1 species
GACAGAGGGGGCAAGCGUUGCUCGGAAUUACUGGGCGUAAAGGGCGUGUAGGCGGAGCGGCAAGUCGGUGGUGAAAGCCUGCGGCUCAACCGCAGAAGUGCCUCCGAAACUGCCGGUCUGGAGGGGUGGAGAGGAGACUGGAAUUCCCGGUGUAGCGGUGAAAUGUGUAGAGAUCGGGAGGAACACCGGUGGCGAAGGCGGGUCUCUGGCCACCUCCUGACGCUGAGGCGCGAAAGCGUGGGGAGCAAGCGGG